AUGAACGCUGGCGGCGUGCCUAAUACAUGCCAGUCGAGCGCACGGACGAGAAGCUUGCUUCUCUGAUGUUAGCGGCGGACGGGUGAGUAACACGUGGAUAACCUACCUAUAAGACUGGGAUAACUUCGGGAAACCGGAGCUAAUACCGGAUAAUAUUUUGAACCGCAUGGUUCAAAAGUGAAAGACGGUCUUGCUGUCACUUAUAGAUGGAUCCGCGCUGCAUUAGCUAGUUGGUAAGGUAACGGCUUACCAAGGCAACGAUGCAUAGCCGACCUGAGAGGGUGAUCGGCCACACUGGAACUGAGACUCGGUCCAGACUCCUACGGGAGGCAGCAGUAGGGAAUCUUCCGCAAUGGGCGAAAGCCUGACGGAGCAACGCCGCGUGAGUGAUGAAGGUCUUCGGAUCGUAAAACUCUGUUAUUAGGGAAGAACAUAUGUGUAAGUAACUGUGCACAUCUUGACGGUACCUAAUCAGAAAGCCACGGCUAACUACGUG
rnacentral:rRNA from 1 species